AUUUUGGUAAGGUGGAAGCAGAAGUGUGUGUGAAGGAAGAAUGUAGGAUGAGUUGAGAGGGGUAGGAGACAGAUCAUCUAAAAGAGCCUCAGGAUCAAAAGAAGCUUUAGAGUCUUUCCUGUUGCUAUCGACCCAUUGAGAUCGGCUCUGCAGCCAGAGGCCUCGCUGUGAUCCGCCGAACGCCAGGGAUUAGUGAAGAUUCCACAAGAGAUUUGAACAGUACCCAGCUUCUUGGGCUCUUGGUCAUCAUGAAGCCAUCCUGCUUGCAGAAGCCUGUGGGAGGCCAACGUGGUCUUAGCAUUUCUGUGUCUGUCCAGGUGCGUGCCAAGCCCACAGUAAGCCCUCU
rnacentral:lncRNA from 1 species